rnacentral:rRNA from 1 species
UACGGAGGGUGCAAGCGUUGUUCGGAAUCACUGGGCGUAAAGCGUACGCAGGCGGACCGUUAAGUCGAAUGUGAAAGCCCGGGGCUCAACCUCGGAAGUGCAUUCGAAACUGGCGGUCUUGAGUACGGGAGAGGUGAGUGGAAUUCCUGGUGUAGAGGUGAAAUUCGUAGAUAUCAGGAGGAACACCGGUGGCGAAAGCGGCUCACUGGCCCGAUACUGACGCUCAUGUACGAAAGCGUGGGGAGCAAACAGG